rnacentral:rRNA from 1 species
AGUGGAAAGUUUACUCUGUGACGGUAGCUUAUCAGAAAGGGACGGCUAACUACGUGCCAGCAGCCGCGGUAAUACGUAGGUCCCGAGCGUUGUCCGGAUUUAUUGGGCGUAAAGCGAGCGCAGGUGGUUUAAUAAGUCUGAAGUUAAAGGCAUUGGCUCAACCAAUGUACGCUUUGGAAACUGUUAAACUUGAGUGCAGAAGGGGAGAGUGGAAUUCCAUGUGUAGCGGUGAAAUGCGUAGAUAUAUGGAGGAACACCGGUGGCGAAAGCGGCUCUCUGGUCUGUAACUGACACUGAGGCUCGAAAGCGUGGGUAGCGAACAGGAUUAGAUACCCUGGUAGUCCACGCCGUAAACGAUGAGUGCUAGGUGUUGGGUCCUUUCCGGGACUCAGUGCCGCAGCUAACGCAUUAAGCACUCCGCCUGGGGAGUACGACCGCAAGGUUGAAACUCAAAGGAAUUGACGGGGGCCCGCACAAGCGGUGGAGCAUGUGGUUUAAUUCGAAGCAACGCGAAGAACCUUACCAGGUCUUGACAUCCCGAUGCCCGUCCUAGAGAUAGGAUUUUACUUCGGUACAUCGGUGACAGGUGGUGCAUGGUUGUCGUCAGCUCGUGUCGUGAGAUGUUGGGUUAAGUCCCGCAACGAGCGCAACCCCUAUUGUUAGUUGCCAUCAUUCAGUUGGGCACUCUAGCGAGACUGCCGGUAAUAAACCGGAGGAAGGUGGGGAUGACGUCAAAUCAUCAUGCCCCUUAUGACCUGGGCUACACACGUGCUACAAUGGUCGGUACAACGAGCAGCGAACUGGUGACAGUAAGCCAAUCUCUUAAAGCCGAUCUCAGUUCGGAUUGUAGGCUGCAACUCGCCUACAUGAAGUCGGAAUCGCUAGUAAUCGCGGAUCANNACGCCGCGGUGAAUACGUUCCCGGGCCUUGUACACACCGCCCGUCACACCACGAGAGUUUGUAACACCCGAAGUCGGUGAGGUAACCUUUUAGGAGCNAGCCGCCUAAGGUGGNU